UAAACUUUGAUGUAUGUAAAUUAAGUUCGAAUGUAUUAUUAUUUAGUAUUAUUCAGCUUAAAGAAAUGGUAUCAUGGAGAACCGAGUUCGGAUUUCAAGUACCUGGAUUUGGGGUCGCCACAUUAUAGGCCCCGAAACUCCAAACGAGUCAAAAUUUAUGAUCAAAAUAGUAAUUGCUCCUCCAAAAUUUCAUUGUUCCCCUAGGCCAUGUUGCCUUAGGCCACCUAGGGGGCGGCCAUGUUGCCUUAGGCCACCUAAGGGUCGUUCUUUUCACCCCUUAAAAAAAAAAAAAAAAAAUUAUGUAGGCUUCGACCAUGUAAGCCUCAACUUCCUAGGGGCUGUUACCCUUCAUACCUUUGAGGUCCUGUUGCUCUACCAAUCAACUGCUUGAAAUGAAUACUCCUUCGCCACGAAGAUUUUCCAAAAGAUAAGUAUCUUUGAAUUCUAAAAAUAUAUAAAGAUAUUAUUUGCUAAAUAUAAAGAAGAUUUAGUUUUAUUCCCAACAAGG
rnacentral:lncRNA from 1 species